GACGAACGCUGGCGGCGUGCUUAACACAUGCAAGUCGAACGGAAAGGCCCUAGCUUGCUAGGGUGCUCGAGUGGCGAACGGGUGAGUAGCACGUGGGUGAUCUGCCUUGUACUCUGGGAUAAGCUUGGGAAACUGGGUCUAAUACCGGAUAGGAACUGCCUUUAGUGUGGUGGUUGGAAAGUUUUUUCGGUGCAAGAUGAGCUCGCGGCCUAUCAGCUUGUUGGUGGGGUAAUGGCCUACCAAGGCGUCGACGGGUAGCCGGCCUGAGAGGGUGUACGGCCACAUUGGGACUGAGAUACGGCCCAGACUCCUACGGGAGGCAGCAGUGGGGAAUAUUGCACAAUGGGCGGAAGCCUGAUGCAGCGACGCCGCGUGGGGGAUGACGGCCUUCGGGUUGUAAACUCCUUUCGACAGGGGCGAAGCUUUUUGUGACGGUACCUGUAUAAGAAGCACCGGCUAACUACGUGCCAGCAGCCGCGGUAAUACGUAGGGUGCGAGCGUUGUCCGGAAUUACUGGGCGUAAAGAGCUCGUAGGUGGUUUGUCGCGUCGUCUGUGAAAUUCCGGGGCUUAACUCCGGGCGUGCAGGCGAUACGGGCAUAACUUGAGUGCUGUAGGGGAGACUGGAAUUCCUGGUGUAGCGGUGAAAUGCGCAGAUAUCAGGAGGAACACCGAUGGCGAAGGCAGGUCUCUGGGCAGUUACUGACGCUGAGGAGCGAAAGCAUGGGUAGCGAACAGGAUUAGAUACCCUGGUAGUCCAUGCCGUAAACGGUGGGCGCUAGGUGUAGGGGGCUUCCACGUCUUCUGUGCCGUAGCUAACGCAUUAAGCGCCCCGCCUGGGGAGUACGGCCGCAAGGCUAAAACUCAAAGGAAUUGACGGGGGCCCGCACAAGCGGCGGAGCAUGUGGAUUAAUUCGAUGCAACGCGAAGAACCUUACCUGGGCUUGACAUACACCAGAUCGCUGCAGAGAUGUAGUCUCCCUUGUGGUUGGUGUACAGGUGGUGCAUGGUUGUCGUCAGCUCGUGUCGUGAGAUGUUGGGUUAAGUCCCGCAACGAGCGCAACCCUUGUCUUAUGUUGCCAGCAUUUGGUUGGGGACUCAUGAGAGACUGCCGGGGUUAACUCGGAGGAAGGUGGGGAUGACGUCAAAUCAUCAUGCCCCUUAUGUCCAGGGCUUCACACAUGCUACAAUGGUCGGUACAGCGCGCAGCGACACUGUGAGGUGGAGCGAAUCGCUGAAAGCCGGUCUUAGUUCGGAUUGGGGUCUGCAACUCGACCCCAUGAAGUCGGAGUCGCUAGUAAUCGUAGAUCAGCAAUGCUGCGGUGAAUACGUUCCCGGGCCU
rnacentral:rRNA from 1 species